rnacentral:rRNA from 1 species
UACGUAGGGUGCUAGCGUUAUCCGGAAUUAUUGGGCGUAAAGUGUCUGUAGGUGGCUUUUUGAGUCCUAUGUCAAAUCCCAGGGCUCAACCCCGGACAGGCGUUGGAAACGGACAAGCUGGAGUACGGUAGGGGCAGAGGGAAUUUCCGGUGGAGCGGUUAAAUGCGUAGAGAUCAGAAGGAACACCAAGGGCGAAAGCA